CAGCCGCCACGGUAAUACGAAGGGUGCAAGCGCUAAUCGGAUUUACUGGGCGUAAAGCGUGCGUAGGCGGCUUCUUAAGUCGGAUGUGAAAUCCCUGAGCUUAACUUAGGAAUUGCAUUCGAUACUGGGAAGCUAGAGUAUGGGAGAGGAUGGUAGAAUUCCAGGUGUAGCGGUGAAAUGCGUAGAGAUCUGGAGGAAUACCGAUGGCGAAGGCAGCCAUCUGGCCUAAUACUGACGCUGAGGUACGAAAGCAUGGGGAGCAAACAGGAUUAGAUACCCCCGUAGUCCCUGUCUCUUAUAC
rnacentral:rRNA from 1 species